UUGCAACCUGAACUCAGGCGUGAUUACCCGCUGAACUUAAGCAUAUCAUUUAGCGGAGGAAAAGAAACUAACAAGGAUUCCCCUAGUAACGGCGAGUGAACGGGGAGAAGCCCAGCGCUGAAUCUUUCGGUGUUACACCGUUAAGAAAUGUAGCGUAUAGGUGUGGUUUUCAGUUUGUGCUACUUAUCAAAGUCCCUUUGAUAGGGGCCACAUUCCCGAGAGGGUGCGAGACCUGUGCGGAUAGUGGAGCAAGCUGUACGAUCAUACCUUGGAGUCGGGUUGCUUGAAAGUGCAGCCUAAAGUGGGUGAUAAACUUCAUCUAAGGCUAAAUAUAGACGCGAAUUCGAUAGCAAACAAGUACUGUGAAGGAAAGUUGCAAGAACUUUGAAGAGAGUUCAAGAGAACGUGAAAUCGCUGGAGUGGAAACGGAGAGUUGACGUAGUCCGGUGACUAAGUUUGCCGAAAUCGCUUAAUUGUGAUUAAGGUGAAUGUAUGUUGCCUAUGGCUGCGCUGACAGCACUGGUUGUACGUUCGAACCGUUUUCGUUGCCCAAUUUUCGAAUUGGUGUCUUGUUUACAGGUAGGUUUGUUAUGACUAGUGUUUUAUCCUGUUUUAUGCAGGGUGUCAGUGUGAAGGUCGACCACCUCUCCGACCCGUCUUGAAACACGGACCGAGGAGUGUAACUUGUACGCGAGUCAAAGGGUGGAAAACCCCAAGGCGCAAUGAAAGUAAAGGUCGGUUAACCGACUGACAUGGGAUCCGUUUCGUUUUGAAGCGGCGCACCAUGGCCCUGUCUUGUCUGCUUGCAGAUGGGCAGCGGUAGAGCGUACAGGUUGCGACCCGAAAGAUGGUGAACUAUGCCUGAGCAGGACGAAGUCAGAGGAAACUCUGGUGGAAGUCCGUAUCGGUUCUGACGUGCAAAUCGAUCGAUAGACUUGGGUAUAGGGGCGAAAGACUAAUCGAACCAUCUAGUAGCUGGUUCCUCCGAAGUUUCCCCCAGGAUAGCUGGAGUUCAUUGCGGUUAUAUCCGGUAAAGCGAAUGAUUAGAGGACUUGGGGUCGAAACGACCUCAACCUAUUCUCAAACUUUCAAUGGGUAUGUUGUCUCGGUUUCUUUGUUGAACUGUUGACACGAACGCGAACUCCAAGUGGGCCAUUUUUGGUAAGCAGAACUGGCGCUGUGGGAUGAACCAAACGUUGGGUUAAGGUGCCUAACUUUUCGCUCAUGAGACCCCAUAAAGGCGUUGGUUGAUAUAGACAGCAGGACGGUGGCCAUGGAAGUCGGUACCCGCUAAGGAGUGUGUAACAACUCACCUGCCGAAUCAACUAGCCCUGAAAAUGGAUGGCGCUUGAGCGAGAGACCUAUACCCAACCGUUGCUGGCUUGUGCGUGCCUGUCGCCUGGCUGCAACAGUAGGAGGUCGUGGCGGUUGCGUCGAAGGUUUUGGGCGUAGGCCCAACUGGAGCUUCCGUCAGUGCAGAUCUCGGUGGUAGUAGCAAAUAUUUAAGUUCGAUCCUUGAAGACUGAAGUGGAGAAGGGUUCCACGUGAACAGUAGUUGAAUGUGGGUCAGUCGAUCCUAAGAUACUGGCUUAUGCCUUGUAUCAUCGAGUCUCUUUUCUCUCGGAUAUCAAAAGGGAAUAGGGUUAAUAUUCCCUAACGCAGACACAGAGAUUGUGGCUCUUACGAGUCACUUGCGCGGUAACGCAUUCGAACUUGGUUACGUCGCUCAGAGACCGAGCUAGAGUUCUCUUCUCUAGUUAAGGAACGGACUCCCUGGAAUCAGUUCAGCCGUAGAUAGGGACGUUGUUUCCGUAAAGCAUCGCGGUUUCUGUGAUGUCUCGUGUUCUCUGGACGGCCCUUGAAAAACCAAGGGAGGCUAUUAAUCUGUGCUGCAUCGUACCGAUAUCAGCAUCAGGUCUCCAAGUAGGUGAGUGCUUAGUCCGUAACUUCGGGAAAAGUGGGUGACCGGGUCGGUUGGCUUGUUAACUGAUGCUUGUGCGGUUUCGUCCGUGGCUGGCUGAUACUAACGUUGAUGCUGGUUGACACUGAUGACUGCCUUGUGGACGUUUUCAGGUGUGUGCUUUGUCUUCGGACUUAGUAUCCUGAUCGACCAUCAAAACUGGUGACUGGAACACGGACUCAGGGAAUCGUUGUCUAAUUAAAACAGACUGACAGAUGGUCCUUGCGGAACGUAAUUUGAGAUGUUGUGUUUCUGAGCCCAGUGCUCUGAAUGUUAAAUCGUAGUAAUUCGAGUAAGCGCGGGUAAACUAUGACUCUCUUAAGGUAGCCAAAUGCCUCGUCAGCUAACUACUGACGCGCAUGAAUGGAUUAACGAGAUUUACUAGUGCAACUACUAGGCGAACGGGCCUUGGUGUAGCAGAAAAGAUAGCGAGUUGAAAGAAGAGGUGAUUUGCUUGGUUGAACGUCGAAAGAUCAUGAUUCUUGAGCAUGAGAUGGUGAGCUUCGGCUGACAGAAAGAUGGUGUUUCAUCGUUUUAGGACGAGUUCUGUAGACAGGCGACAUGAAACGGUCGUCAGUUUCGUAAGGAGAGAUGAAACCUUCGAGAAAGUGUCGAAAGCGAUUUCUGCGAUCUACUUUCUUAUGUAACAGUCAGGUGUCGUAAGUGGCUCUAUAUUUUUGCCAGAUCCUUGUCUGGUGAUGUCAGAAAUAUUAGACGAAACGAAAGCGUAGGACGAUGGGUUGUGGUCGAGUGGAAUCGCUCUUACCACGAAACGCUUGUCGCCGCGUUCAGCGUGCAACUCAUCGAGGUGAUUGAUUGAGCUGUCAGCGCUAUCAUUAAAGAU
rnacentral:rRNA from 1 species